UACAGAGGGUGCGAGCGUUGUCCGGAAUCACUGGGCGUAAAGGGCGCGUAGGCGGCUUGAUAAGCGUGCGGUGAAAGCCCGGGGCUCAACCCCGGGUCGGCCGUGCGAACUGUCGAGCUGGAGCACUGUAGAGGCAGGUGGAAUUCCGGGUGUAGCGGUGAAAUGCGCAGAUAUCGGGAAGAACACCCGUGGCGAAGGCGGCUCUCUGGAACGCAACUGACGCUGAGACGCGAAAGCGUGGGGAGCAAACAGG
rnacentral:rRNA from 1 species